rnacentral:rRNA from 1 species
UACAGAGGUCUCAAGCGUUGUUCGGAUUCAUUGGGCGUAAAGGGUGCGUAGGCGGCGCGGUAAGUCGGGUGUGAAAUCUCGGGGCUUAACUCCGAAACUGCAUUCGAUACUGCCGUGCUUGAGGACUGGAAAGGAGACUGGAAUUUACGGUGUAGCGGUGAAAUGCGUAGAUAUCGUAAGGAAGACCAGUGGCGAAGGCGGGUCUCUGGACAGUUCCUGACGCUGAGGCACGAAGGCCAGGGGAGCAAUCGGG